ACUCCUGCGGGAGGCAGCAGUGGGGAAUAUUGCACAAUGGGCGCAAGCCUGAUGCAGCCAUGCCGCGUGUAUGAAGAAGGCCUUCGGGUUGUAAAGUACUUUCAGCGGGGAGGAAGGCGAUAAGGUUAAUAACCUUGUCGAUUGACGUUACCCGCAGAAGAAGCACCGGCUAACUCCGUGCCAGCAGCCGCGGUAAUACGGAGGGUGCAAGCGUUAAUCGGAAUUACUGGGCGUAAAGCGCACGCAGGCGGUCUGUCAAGUCGGAUGUGAAAUCCCCGGGCUCAACCUGGGAACUGCAUUCGAAACUGGCAGGCUAGAGUCUUGUAGAGGGGGGUAGAAUUCCAGGUGUAGCGGUGAAAUGCGUAGAGAUCUGGAGGAAUACCGGUGGCGAAGGCGGCCCCCUGGACAAAGACUGACGCUCAGGUGCGAAAGCGUGGGGAGCAAACAGGAUUAGAUACCCUUGUAGUCCCAUG
rnacentral:rRNA from 1 species